rnacentral:rRNA from 1 species
CCCUUAGAUGUUCUGGGCCGCACGCGCGCUACACUGACGAAUGCAACGAGCUUAUAACCUUGGCCGAAAGGUCUGGGUAAUCUCCAAAUUUCGUCGUGAUGGGGAUAGAUUAUUGCAAUUAUUAAUCUUCAACGAGGAAUGCCUAGUAAGCGCAAGUCAUCAGCUUGCGUUGAUUACGUCCCUGCCCUUUGUACACACCGCCCGUCGCUCCUACCGAUUGGGUGCUCCGGUGAAUUGUUUGGACUGCUGUCAGUCUUUUUGGCUGUCGGCGAGAAGCUCUGUGAACCUUAGCACCUAGAGGAAGGAGAAGUCGUAACA